ensembl:ncRNA lncRNA:CR45624 long non-coding RNA:CR45624
AGCUCACAAUCGUGUUUCGAUCUAAGACUGUGCCUUCUCCAUCUCUGUUUCCCUCACUCCUGCCAUCUCCCUCUCUCGCUGACCUUGCUGCCAACGAAAUUUCUACUUCCUGCUCUCCUACAUUUUCCCGUUCCUCUUUUUUGUCGAUGCUUCCUUCCUUCGUUCAGCUAAAUCUGAUGCGCACCCCAGAGCAGCAACAAACAUAAAAUAUAUAUAAGUAUGUACAUAUAUAUCCGACUGUUACCAACCCAACUCAGCCCACACACACACACACACACACACACAGAGAGUCUACACCCAUACCAUAUCGCACGCACACACUAAGCGAUUGCGUCCCGUUUUCGAAUUUCGAGCGAAAC